UACGGAGGGUGCGAGCGUUGUCCGGAAUCACUGGGCGUAAAGGGCGCGUAGGCGGCUGCGCAAGUCUCGGGUGAAAUCCCUCGGCUCAACCGAGGAACUGCCCUGGAAACUGCGCGGCUCGAGGCCGGGAGAGGAUGGUGGAAUUCCCAGUGUAGCGGUGAAAUGCGUAGAUAUUGGGAGGAACACCGGUGGCGAAGGCGGCCAUCUGGACCGGUCCUGACGCUGAGGCGCGAAAGCGUGGGGAGCAAACAGG
rnacentral:rRNA from 1 species